CAGCAGCCGCGGUAAGACAGAGGAUGCAAGCGUUAUCCGGAAUGAUUGGGCGUAAAGCGUCUGUAGGUGGCUUUUCAAGUCCGCCGUCAAAUCCCAGGGCUCAACCCUGGACAGGCGGUGGAAACUACCAAGCUGGAGUACGGUAGGGGCAGAGGGAAUUUCCGGUGGAGCGGUGAAAUGCGUAGAGAUCUGGAGGAAUACCGGUGGCGAAGGCGGCCCCCUGGACAAAGACUGACGCUCAGGUGCGAAAGCGUGGGGAGCAAACAGGAUUAGAUACCCCAGUAGUCCCUGUCUCUUAUAA
rnacentral:rRNA from 1 species